UGGGGAAUAUUGGACAAUGGGCGAAAGCCUGAUCCAGCCAUGCCGCGUGUGUGAAGAAGGUCUUCGGAUUGUAAAGCACUUUAAGUUGGGAGGAAGGGCAGUAAGCGAAUACCUUGCUGUUUUGACGUUACCGACAGAAUAAGCACCGGCUAACUCUGUGCCAGCAGCCGCGGUAAUACAGAGGGUGCAAGCGUUAAUCGGAAUUACUGGGCGUAAAGCGUGCGUAGGCGGCUAAUUGAGUCGGAUGUGAAAUCCCCGAGCUUAACUUGGGAAUUGCAUUCGAUACUGGUUAGCUAGAGUGUGAGAGAGGAUGGUAGAAUUCCAGGUGUAGCGGUGAAAUGCGUAGAGAUCUGGAGGAAUACAGAUGGCGAAGGCAGCCAUCUGGCCUAACACUGACGCUGAGGUACGAAAGCAUGGGGAGCAAACAGG
rnacentral:rRNA from 1 species